GCUGUAAGAUAAAUCACCGUUAAAUUUCAUGCUAUAUAUUCAGUUUAGACAUAACUUCAGGUCUGCUGUAGACCAGGAGCAUGUUCAUCAACCAGUUACUGCAUUUUAGGGAUCAUGCAAUGGUUAUCAUAAAAAAUGAAACAACAGGAAAACAUCUAAGGAGAAGGAAUGCUCAAAAGCCAAUCCAGCUUUGCAAUGAAGGUGGAGGCACACCUGCAUUAGGUAGGAGAAUGGAUCUGUGACCUCAGUCCCUUACUAUUUUGUCUGUACUCUUGCAUGUCGUGCUCCUCAGGUUUCCGCUUGGAUCUUGAUCCUUAUUAAAAUUAAUUUAUCCAUGUUCUGCAUGCACUGGGUAGGGGAUUGGGAUAUUUUUAUCCCUAAGGAUGACUGGAAGCCUUCAUUCUCUGCAACGGGUCACCAAAGAAAAUUCGAUUUCUGAGGUAACAGCCUCUUAUUUUUCUAUCUGGAAAGAUUUUCAUCAUCUUAUUAUUUCUGAGGAACUCUGACAUGUAAAAAGUAAGAAGGAGCAUAGAGAAAUCACUUGGUCUACCUGACAAGCUGGUAAUGUUCUCAAACUAGUAUAUUAUAAUCACCUACAGCUGUUUGGACAUCAAUCUAAAUGAUAUUCUCAAAAUGUGGUUUCAGAAAAAUUCUUUCUCAUUCAUUUUUAUCCUUUCAGCCUGUAAAUAGAUUAUAAAUGGAACUGAAAAAGCAGAAUGCAGAAGUUUAUACACACUUAGCAGAAAUGGUGAAUCCUUCCUGUGAAAGGAUAAACAGCUGUUAGGUCAGUAUUUGUAGAAGCAUAUCCUGUUUUUACCCUGCUCACAACUCAGCUGGAAGCUGAAGUUUAACUUGAUUUGAAACAACCAAAUCAGCAUUUGAAUACAAGACUGACUUACAUAGAGAGCAAAUAAUUAUAUUUAAUAAGCACGUGUUAAAUGAGAUGUUGGAUGCUUUGUAGGUUGGAAUACAAACAAACUCUUAAGAAAAGAAUAACAGCAGAAUUGCUUGUUAACUGCCAAGAGAAGCAACCUUACAGCUGGAACUCUGCCUUCUGCUCUAAUUCAGAAAAAAA